GACGAACGCUGGCGGCGUGCUUAACACAUGCAAGUCGAACGGAAAGGCCCUGCUUUUGUGGGGUGCUCGAGUGGCGAACGGGUGAGUAACACGUGAGUAACCUGCCCUUGACUUUGGGAUAACUUCAGGAAACUGGGGCUAAUACCGGAUAGGAGCUCCUGCUGCAUGGUGGGGGUUGGAAAGUUUCGGCGGUUGGGGAUGGACUCGCGGCUUAUCAGCUUGUUGGUGGGGUAGUGGCUUACCAAGGCUUUGACGGGUAGCCGGCCUGAGAGGGUGACCGGCCACAUUGGGACUGAGAUACGGCCCAGACUCCUACGGGAGGCAGCAGUGGGGAAUAUUGCACAAUGGGCGGAAGCCUGAUGCAGCAACGCCGCGUGCGGGAUGACGGCCUUCGGGUUGUAAACCGCUUUCGCCUGUGACGAAGCGUGAGUGACGGUAAUGGGUAAAGAAGCACCGGCUAACUACGUGCCAGCAGCCGCGGUGAUACGUAGGGUGCGAGCGUUGUCCGGAUUUAUUGGGCGUAAAGGGCUCGUAGGUGGUUGAUCGCGUCGGAAGUGUAAUCUUGGGGCUUAACCCUGAGCGUGCUUUCGAUACGGGUUGACUUGAGGAAGGUAGGGGAGAAUGGAAUCCUGGUGGAGCGGUGGAAUGCGCAGAUAUCAGGAGGAACACCAGUGGCGAAGGCGGUUCUCUGGGCCUUUCCUGACGCUGAGGAGCGAAAGCGUGGGGAGCGAACAGGCUUAGAUACCCUGGUAGUCCACGCUGUAAACGGUGGGUACUAGGUGUGGGGUCCAUUCCACGGGUUCCGUGCCGUAGCUAACGCUUUAAGUACCCCGCCUGGGGAGUACGGCCGCAAGGCUAAAACUCAAAGGAAUUGACGGGGCCCCGCACAAGCGGCGGAGCAUGCGGAUUAAUUCGAUGCAACGCGUAGAACCUUACCUGGGUUUGACAUGGAUCGGGAGUGCUCAGAGAUGGGUGUGCCUCUUUUGGGGUCGGUUCACAGGUGGUGCAUGGCUGUCGUCAGCUCGUGUCGUGAGAUGUUGGGUUAAGUCCCGCAACGAGCGCAACCCUUGUUCACUGUUGCCAGCACGUUAUGGUGGGGACUCAGUGGAGACCGCCGGGGUCAACUCGGAGGAAGGUGGGGAUGACGUCAAGUCAUCAUGCCCCUUAUGUCCAGGGCUUCACGCAUGCUACAAUGGCUGGUACAGAGAGUGGCGAGCCUGUGAGGGUGAGCGAAUCUCGGAAAGCCGGUCUCAGUUCGGAUUGGGGUCUGCAACUCGACCUCAUGAAGUCGGAGUCGCUAGUAAUCGCAGAUCAGCAACGCUGCGGUGAAUACGUUCCCGGG
rnacentral:rRNA from 1 species